AUUGAACGCUGGCGGCAGGCCUAACACAUGCACGUCGCACGAGUGGCGGACGGGUGAGUAAUGUCUGGGAAACUGCAUGAUGGAGGGGGAUAACUACUGGAAAAGGUAGCUAAUACCGCAUACCAUCGGAUGUGCCCAGAUGGGAUUAGCUUGUUGGUGGGGUAACGGCUCACCAAGGCGACGAUCCCUAGCUUGUCUGAGAGGAUGACCAGCCACACUGGAACGGAGACACGGUCCAGACUCCUACGGGAGGCAGCAGUGGGGAAUAGUGCACAAUGGGCGCAAGCCUGAUGCAGCCAUGCCGCGUGUAUGAAGAAGGCCUUCGGGUUGUAAAGUACUUUCAGCGGGGAGGCGUUACCCGCAGAAGAAGCACCGGCUAACUCCGUGCCAGCAGCCGCGGUAAUAC
rnacentral:rRNA from 1 species